UACAGAGGGUGCGAGCGUUGUCCGGAAUCACUGGGCGUAAAGGGCGCGUAGGCGGCCUGAUAAGUAGGGGGUGAAAUCCUGUGGUUUAACUGCAGGGCUGCCUCCUAGACUGUUAGGCUCGAGCACGGUAGAGGCAGAUGGAAUUCCCGGUGUAGCGGUGGAAUGCGUAGAGAUCGGGAAGAACAUCGGUGGCGAAGGCGGUCUGCUGGGCCGUUGCUGACGCUGAGGCGCGACAGCGUGGGGAGCAAACAGG
rnacentral:rRNA from 1 species